AAAAAAACAUUCGGUAUAUUUUCUGGGCAUCAGAUAAUCAUAAAAGUUAGCAUCACAUAGAAUCAGA
rnacentral:sRNA from 1 species